UGGUCCCGCUUGCGCUUCCUCAGCGUCUCCUCCACGGGCAGGAAAUAGGCCACGAACUGGUUCCCUUCCUCGUCCAUCAUCCCCCUGAAACCGGCACAAAAACAGCCCAAAAUUACCCCAAAAACACCUCAAAAUCAGGCCACGAACUGGUUCCCUUCCUCGUCCAUCAUCCCCCUGAAAUCACCCCAAAAACAGCCCAAAAUUACCCCAAAAUUACCCCAAAAACACCUCAAAAUCAGGCCACGAACUGGUUCCCUUCCUUGUCCAUCAUCCCCCUGAAAUCACCCCAAAAACAGCCCAAAAUUACCCCAAAAACAGCUCAAAAUCAGGCCACGAACUGGUUCCCUUCCUCGUCCAUCAUCCCCCUGAAACCGGCACAAAACAGCCCAAAAUUACCCCAAAAACACCCCCAAAACUACCCCAAAACCACCUCAAAAUCAGGCCACGAACUGGUUCCCUUCCUCAUCCAUCAUCCCCCUGAAACCAGCACAAAACACCCCAAAAUUACCCCAAAAACACCCCAAAAUCAUCCACAAAAUCACCCCCAAAAACACCCCAAAAUCAGCCCAAAAAUUACCCCAAAAUCAGCACAAAAUUAUCCCCAAAAACAGCCCAAAAUCAGCCCAAAAAAUACCCCAAAACCACCCCAAAAACAGCCCAAAAACAGGCCACGAACUGGUUCCCUUCCUCGUCCAUCAUCCCCUUGGAUAUGGGGGAAAACCACCCCAAAAUCAGCUCAAAAUUACCCAAAAAUCGGCACAAAAUUACACCAAAAAUUACCCCAAAACCACCCCAAAAUCAACCCCAAAAACAACCCCAAAAUCAGCAAAAAACACCCCAAAAUCAGCUCAAAAUUACCCAAAAAUCAGCUCAAAAUUACCCAAAAAUUGGCACAAAAUUACCCCAAAAAUUACCCCAAAACCACCCCAAAAUCAGCCCCAACAUCAGCCCCAAAAACAGCUCAAAAUUACCCAAAAAUCAUCCACAAAAUCAGCCCCAAAAACAUCCCCAAAAUCAGCAAAAAACACCCCAAAAUCAGCCCAGAUUGGGGGAUUUGAUCUGGGCCAUCAUCUCCAGGAUUUGGGGGAUCUGGGUGGAUUUUUGGGGUGAAUUUGGGGCAUUUUGGGACCUGAUCAUGGCCUGGGACAUCAUCUCC
rnacentral:lncRNA from 1 species